rnacentral:lncRNA from 1 species
UAAGAUUAUAGAUGUAUCUAUUGCUCUUUUAAUAAGUUCUGUCCAUUUUUGCUUUAUACAUUUUGGAGCUUUUUUAUUAGGUGCAUAGUCAUUUAAAAUAACACAUUCUUGUCAGAUAGUCUCUUCGGUAUGAAACAACCCUACUUGUGUUUACUAAUUUAUCAUUUCUUGCCUUUUAGUGUUAUAUGCAAGACCAUAUGUAUCGACUUUAUUUUGCCUACCGUUUACUUGUACUGUAUUUAAUUUACUCUAAUUUUAUUUUCAGCCACUUUUUGUCUGCAUAUUUUACUCAGGUUAUUUUUUUUUUCCUGUGAGCUACAUGAAUUUGCUAACCCAAUCUGCCAAAUUUUCUCCUUGAUUCUAGGUAUUCAAUCCAUUUGCAUUAGGACAAUUACAGAUGUAUCAGCAUUUUAAUCAAUCAUCUUAUUAGUUUUAUAUUUUUUCUCCUUUUCUUUAUUAUCUUUGUUGAUGACUCUCAUUCACUCUU